rnacentral:piRNA from 1 species
CCUUCCUAGAAAUGCUGCCGGUUGGGUUGC